rnacentral:misc_RNA from 1 species
GAUGAAGAACGUAGCGAAAUGCGAUAAGUAAUGUGAAUUGCAGAAUUCAGUGAAUCAUCGAAUCUUUGAACGCACAUUGCGCCCGCUAGUAUUCUGGCAGGCAUGCCUGUCCGAGCGUCAUUUCAACCCUCAAGCCCCCGGGCUUGGUGUUGGGGAUCGGCGAGCCUCCGCGCCCGCCGUCCCCUAAAUCUAGUGGCGGUCUCGCUGUAGCUUCCUCUGCGUAGUAGCACACCUCGCACUGGGAAACAGCGCGGCCACGCCGUUAAACCCCCAACUUCUGAACGUUUGACCUCGGAUCAGGUAGGAAUACCCGCUGAACUUAAGCAUAUCAAUAAGCGGAGGA